GAUGAAGAACGCAGCGAAAUGCGAUAAGUAGUGUGAAUUGCAGAAUUCAGUGAAUCAUCGAAUCUUUGAACGCACAUUGCGCCCUUUGGUAUUCCAAAGGGCAUGCCUGUUCGAGCGUCAUUUGUACCCUCAAGCUCUGCUUGGUGUUGGGCGUCUUGUCUCCAGUUUCGCUGGAGACUCGCCUUAAAGUCAUUGGCAGCCGGCCUACUGGUUUCGGAGCGCAGCACAAGUCGCGCUCUCGUCCAGCCAAGGUCAGCAAUCCACAAAGCCUUUUUUUCAACUUUUGACCUCGGAUCAGGUAGGGAUACCCGCUGAACUUAAGCAUAUCAAAAGCGGAGGA
rnacentral:misc_RNA from 1 species